rnacentral:misc_RNA from 1 species
AGAAUUUCAGCUUCUACAUGUUGCAAGAGAAUUGAUUUUCUAUGCAGAAACUGACAAGCUGGUAAUUGCCUCAGUUAAUAAAAUGAUGAACCUCCCUAUAUCCAAAUUUUAAACUGAAGCAUUAUUUGUUGUUCUCAAAAUGAAAUGCUGUGCCUGUCUCUAAGUGUAAUAUUCUUGUUCAUUGUGAAUUUGAUGUCAUUACCUCAAUGAAUGCCAAACUCACUUUAAAGCAGUUGUUUAUAGAUGUUGA